UACGUAGGGUGCGAGCGUUAAUCGGAAUUACUGGGCGUAAAGCGUGCGCAGGCGGUUUUCCAAGACAGAUGUGAAAUCCCCCGGGCUCAACCUGGGAAUGGCAUUUGUGACUGGAAGGCUAGAGUGUGUCAGAGGGGGGGUAGAAUUCCACGUGUAGCAGUGAAAUGCGUAGAGAUGUGGAGGAAUACCGAUGGCGAAGGCAGCCCCCUGGGAUAACACUGACGCUCAUGCACGAAAGCGUGGGGAGCAAACAGG
rnacentral:rRNA from 1 species